AGACGGGCGUCUUCCUCCUCCAGAUCCAGGGUCCUACCCCAUGGACUUUCAUGCAAGCGCAGGCCGAUGCAGGAGACAGGAUUAGCCAUGGGCAGUUGGGGCAUACUGCGGCGGCGCGACCUAUUGAGUCCUCGUAGGCUUCUAUUAGCAUCGCGGAGGGGGACAUUCGCCGUGUCAGAGACGUCUGCAGCGCCGGCGGCAAUGCGGGAUUUGUUGGUGAUGACCCGGUGUUGCAAGUGUGCUCUGAGGCUACGAGUGGUUGGACACGCAGAGUGAGGAACUGGAUAUUUGAUGUACCCAAGAAGAUGUACAUUCUCACUCAUGUGAUGCUUUGGCAUGUGAAAAAUGAAGCAAGGUUCAGAUAUGGGAGAUAUUACAAAAGUUCCAAGAAAGAUGCCCAAGUGUGGUAAAUGUGGAGUGAUCGGACAUCGUCAAAAUCAUGGGGCAAGCGUGCAGAUCCAUUUGAGCCUAAUUUCCUUAGCUUUUGACAUGGUCCCGUUUGAUUUGUGUUUUUAUUCAGACUUUGAUUCAAAAUGUAUUGUCAUUAUGCGAACUGA